rnacentral:rRNA from 1 species
GGUUCAUUCAAAUUUCUGCCCUAUCAACUUUCGAUGGUAGGAUAGUGGCCUACCAUGGUGGCAACGGGUAACGGGGAAUUAGGGUUCGAUUCCGGAGAGGGAGCCUGAGAAACGGCUACCACAUCCAAGGAAGGCAGCAGGCGCGCAAAUUACCCAAUCCCGACCGGGGAGGUAGUGACAAUAAAUACUGAUACAGGGCUCUUUUGAGUCUUGUAAUUGGAAUGAGUACAAUUUAAAUCCCUUAACGAGGAACAAUUGGAGGGCAAGUCUGGUGCCGGCAGCCGCGGUAAUUCCAGCUCCAAUAGCGUAUAUUAAAGUUGUUGCAGUUAAAAAGCUCGUAGUUG